AACGAACGCUGGCGGCAUGCCUAACACAUGCAAGUCGAACGAGACCUUCGGGUCUAGUGGCGCACGGGUGCGUAACGCGUGGGAACCUGCCCUUAGGUUCGGAAUAACUCCCCGAAAGGGGUGCUAAUACCGGAUAAUGUCUUCGGACCAAAGAUUUAUCGCCUUUGGUUGGGCCCGCGUUGGAUUAGCUAGUUGGUAGGGUAAAAGCCUACCAAGGCGACGAUCCAUAGCUGGUCUGAGAGGAUGAUCAGCCACACUGGGACUGAGACACGGCCCAGACUCCUACGGGAGGCAGCAGUGGGGAAUAUUGGACAAUGGGCGAAAGCCUGAUCCAGCAAUGCCGCGUGAGUGAUGAAGGCCUUAGGGUUGUAAAGCUCUUUUACCCGGGAUGAUAAUGACAGUACCGGGAGAAUAAGCGCCGGCUAACCCCGUG
rnacentral:rRNA from 1 species